UACGUAGGGUGCAAGCGUUAAUCGGAAUUACUGGGCGUAAAGCGUGCGCAGGCGGUUUUGUAAGCCAGAUGUGAAAUCCCCGGGCUUAACCUGGGAAUGGCAUUUGGGACUGCAAGGCUUGAGUGCGGCAGAGGAGACUGGAAUUCCUGGUGUAGCAGUGAAAUGCGUAGAUAUCAGGAGGAAUACCGAUGGCGAAGGCAGGUCUCUGGGCUGACACUGACGCUCAUGCACGAAAGCGUGGGAGCAACAGG
rnacentral:rRNA from 1 species